rnacentral:rRNA from 1 species
CUUAACACAUGCAAGCUCGAGGGGCAGCAUGAUCAAAGCUUGCUUUGAUUGAUGGCGACCGGCGCACGGGCUGCGUAACGCGUAUCCAACCUGCCAUGUACUCCGGGAUGGCCCUCCGAAAGGAGGAUUAAUACCGGAUGUGGUUGUUUGAGGACAUCCUCUUACAAUUAAAGAUUUAUCGGUACAUCGAUGGGGAUGCGUACGAUUAGUUAGUCGGCGGGGUAACGGCCCACCGAGACGACGAUCGUUAGGGGUUCUGAGAGGAAGGUCCCCCACAUAGGAACUGAGACACGGUCCUAACUCCUACGGGAGGCAGCAGUGAGGAAUAUUGGUCAAUGGGCGAGAGCCUGAACCAGCCAAGUAGCGUGAAGGAUGACUGCCCUAUGGGUUGUAAACUUCUUUUAGGGGCGAAUAAAGUGCCGUACGUGUACGGUAUUGCAGGUAUCCCCUGAAUAAGCAUCGGCUAAUUCCGUGCCAGCAGCCGCGGUAAUACGGAAGAUGCGAGCGUUAUCCGGAUUUAUUGGGUUUAAAGGGAGCGUAGGCGGGCUUUUAAGUCUGCGGUAAAAUGGCCGUGCUCAACGCGGUCCUGCCGUGGAAACUGGGAGUCUUGAAUGUGCACAAGGAAGGUGGAAUUCGUGGUGUAGCGGUGAAAUGCUUAGAUAUCACGAAGAACUCCGAUUGCGAAGGCAGCCUUCUGGGGCAUGAUUGACGCUGAGGCUCGAAAGCGCGGGAAUCAAACAGGAUUAGAUACCCUGGUAGUCCGCGCCGUAAACGAUGAAUACCCGUCGUGGCGACCACUG